UAAAAUCAUUACAUUCACACCAUCAGCUGUGCGCAAUGGGACCCUGACGUGCUCAGAGGGAGAGGCAGACAAGCUCUGCCAGGAGUGGCUCCGUCCGGCCAGUGACACACUGCACCCCAGGAGGCAAUGAUUUCUUCGGUUACUGCAACGCGUGGGAUUGACAACAUGCCCCCGUUGAGAAAGGAGAUCGCGCCGAGAGCGGUGAGUGAGCGACGUCCACACGUCCUGCCGGCACAUCCUGUUCGUCUAUACUAAUGACUUAGGUGAAGAUCAGAUCACUUUUUAUGAGCAAUCAGGUACCAGGUAAUUCCAACUACUUUUUCUUGCUACUGUA